rnacentral:rRNA from 1 species
CGGGAACUUUAGGGAGACUGCCGGUGACAAACCGGAGGAAGGUGGGGACGACGUCAAGUCAUCAUGGCCCUUACGGGUAGGGCUACACACGUGCUACAAUGGCAGGUACAAAGGGUUGCAAGACGGCGACGUGGAGCUAAUCCCAUAAAGCCGGUCUCAGUCCGGAUCGGAGUCUGCAACUCGACUCCGUGAAGUCGGAAUCGCUAGUAAUCGUGAAUCAGAAUGCCACGGUGAAUACGUUCCCGGGCCUUGUACACACCGCCCGUCACACCAUGGGAGUGG